rnacentral:rRNA from 1 species
CGCCUCUUGAUUUUUAUAAGAGGUAACGCCUGCCCAGUGACAUAUUCAACGGCCGCGGUAUUUUAACCGUGCGAAGGUAGCGUAAUCACUUGUUUUUUAAAUAAAGACCUGUAUGAACGGCAUCACGAGAACUAAACUGUCUCCCCCCUCUAAUCAGUGAAACUGAUCUCCCCGUGCAGAAGCGGGGGUAAAAUCAUAAGACGAGAAGACCCUGUGGAGCUUAAAAUCAAAUACCAACUGUCGGUACUUAAAAACACUAAUACAGUUAUGGCUUAGAUUUUCAGCUGGGGUGCCUGCGGAGUAAAAACUACCCUCCGCGAAGAAUUUGCCAAGAGCAACCACUCUAAGCAUUUAUAAAUUUUACUUAAUUGAUCCAAAUUUUUGAUCAACGGACCAAGUUACCCCAGGGAUAACAGCGCAAUCCACUUUUAGAGGCCCUAUCGACAAGUGGGCUUACGACCUCGAUGUUGGAUCAGGGCAUCCAAGUGGUGCAGCCAUUACUAAAGGUUCGUUUGUUCAACGAUUAAAGCCCU